GAUGGAGUGGGGGAGAGAAAGAGAGUGGGGGAGAAAGAGGAGAGGGAAAGAGUUUCAUUGGAUUCCUCCCUCUCUCCCUCCCUCCCUCCCUCUCCCUGCUCUU